AAUAGAUACCCUGGUAGUCCAUGCCGUAAACGUUGGGCACUAGGUGUGGGGGACAUUCCACGUUUUCCGCGCCGUAGCUAACGCAUUAAGUGCCCCGCCUGGGGAGUACGGCCGCAAGGCUAAAACUCAAAGGAAUUGACGGGGGCCCGCACAAGCGGCGGAGCAUGCGGAUUAAUUCGAUGCAACGCGAAGAACCUUACCAAGGCUUGACAUGGACCGGAUCGCUGCAGAAAUGUGGUUUCUCCUUUUGGGGCCGGUUCACAGGUGGUGCGUGGUUGUCGUCAGCUCGUGUCGUGAGAUGUUGGGUUAAGUCCCGCAACGAGCGCAACCCUCGUUCCAUGUUGCCAGCACGUGAUGGUGGGGACUCAUGGGAGACUGCCGGGGUCAACUCGGAGGAAGGUGGGGACGACGUCAAAUCAUCAUGCCCCUUAUGUCUUGGGCUUCACGCAUGCUACAAUGGCCGGUACAAAGGGUUGCGAUACUGUGAGGUGGAGCUAAUCCCAAAAAGCCGGUCUCAGUUCGGAUUGGGGUCUGCAACUCGACCCC
rnacentral:rRNA from 1 species